CCUACGGGAGGCAGCAGUGAGGAAUAUUGGUCAAUGGGCGAGAGCCUGAACCAGCCAAGUCGCGUGAGGGAGUACUGCCCUAUGGGUUGUAAACCUCUUUUGUCGGGGAGCAAAAGCCGGACGUGUCCGGCUGUGAGAGUACCCGAAGAAAAAGCAUCGGCUAACUCCGUGCCAGCAGCCGCGGUAAUACGGGGGAUGCGAGCGUUAUCCGGAUUUAUUGGGUUUAAAGGGUGCGCAGGCGGAUUUUUAAUUCAGCGGUAAAAUCGUGGGGCUCAACCCCAUCCAGCCGUUGAAACUGGGGAUCUAGAGUGUGCGAGAGGUAUGCGGAAUGCGUGGUGUAGCGGUGAAAUGCAUAGAUAUCACGCAGAACCCCGAUUGCGAAGGCAGCAUACCGGUGCACAACUGACGCUCAGGCACGAAAGCGUGGGUAUCGAACAGGAUUAGAUACCCUAGUAGUC
rnacentral:rRNA from 1 species